rnacentral:rRNA from 1 species
GCCUACGGGGGGCAGCAGUAAGGAAUAUUGGUCAAUGGGCGCAAGCCUGAACCAGCCAUGCCGCGUGAAGGAAGACGGCCCUAUGGGUUGUAAACUUCUUUUGUCAGGGAAUAAACGUGAGUACGUGUACUCACCUGAAGGUACCUGAAGAAUAAGCAUCGGCUAACUCCGUGCCAGCAGCCGCGGUAAUACGGAGGAUGCAAGCGUUAUCCGGAUUCAUUGGGUUUAAAGGGUGCGCAGGCGGAUUGGUAAGUCAGGGGUGAAAUCCCACAGCUCAACUGUGGAACUGCCUUUGAUACUGUCAGUCUAGAGUAUAGUUGAAGUUGGCGGAAUGUGUCAUGUAGCGGUGAAAUGCUUAGAUAUGACACAGAACACCGAUCGCGAAGGCAGCUAGCUAAGCUAUAACUGACGCUCAUGCACGAAAGCGUGGGGAUCAAACAGGAUUAGAUACCCUGGUAGUCGAC